CGCCAGGGUACUACGAGCCUCAGCUUAAAACCCAAAGGACUUGACGGUGUCCCACCCAACUAGAGGAGCCUGUCCUAUAAUUGAUGAUCCACGAUAUACCCGACCAUUUUUUGCUUUCAGCCUGUAUACCUCCGUCGCAAGCCUACCAUAUGAAUGUAUUAUAGUAGGCCUAAGGACUUCAAAGCCCCAACGUCAGGUCAAGGUGCAGCUCAUAAAAUGGAAGAGAUGGGCUACAAUUUCUAACUUAGAACAUACGAAAUACUACAUGAAAUAUAGUCAUGAAGGUGGAUUUAGUAGUAAAUGGGGAAUAGAGAGCCCCAUUAAAUUCGGUCCUGGGACGCGUACACACCGCCCGUCA
rnacentral:rRNA from 1 species